GAGAGUCAGUGUGUCCCUCUUGCAUAGGCUGUUUCUUAAGUAACUUUAAUUCAAAAUAAUCAAUUUGCCAUUGACACAUAUCUUGGGACAGCCUAAAUAUCUCAGUAAAGCAGUUACAAAACCAAAUAACCAGGCCCGUCUAUGAGAGAGGAGAUGAAAGAAGCUGGCAACUGGAAUCAAUUCAGAUCUCCCCCUGCCUCCUAGUUAACAAGGGCCAGCAUCCUACGGCAAAGGGUAAUGUCAUGGGUCUACUGUUUCAAAAUACGCUCAAACGACCAGACUGUAGAAAGAAAAAAGGAAAAGCACCAGCUUCUGCUUACUCAUCUAGGUUCCCAGUGAUUGCCAGGACGGUGCUACCAGCUCACAGGAGCAACAUAAGCAGAAACUGGAAUGUAAAGUAGAGAAAGCUACAGGUGCCCCAGGGGAGAUGUGACCCAGCCUAGGCAUCAGGAAGAGUUGCCUUGAAAAUGUGAUGAGUAAGCUAAGAGCUGAAGGACCAAAGGAGCUAGCAAGGCAAAGAAGAACAGAAGAACAUUCCAGGUGAAGGGAGCUCAGGUAUGGAGCCAGGAACUAAGGUCCCCACCCAGGUGGAAGAUGGUAACUUCAAGCUGAGCACAAGAUUCCUGGAGCACCACCCUGUUACCUCACCACCAGCCAAUCAGAAGAAAGUCACACACCCUGCAACCCUUACCCUAAAUUUGCCUUUAAAAACUUCUCACUGAAAACCAUCAGGGAGUUCAGGUUUUUUAGCACGAGCCACCCAUUUUCCUUGCUUGACCUGGCAAUAAACCUUUCUCUGCUCCAGACUCCCACAUUUCAGUUUGUUUGGCCUCACUGUGCGUCGGGCACACAAACUUGUGUUCAGUAACAAAAAUACUGUUAGGGACUGAAUGUUUAUGUCUCCCCCAAAUUCAUAUGCUGAAAUCCUAACCCCCAGGGUGAUGGAGUCUGGAGGUGGGGCCUUUGAGAGGUAAUUAUGAAUGGGAUUUGUGCCCUUAUAAA